rnacentral:rRNA from 1 species
UGGGGAAUUUUGGACAAUGGGCGAAGCCUGAUCCAGCAAUGCCGCGUGUGUGAAGAAGGCCUUCGGGUUGUAAAGCAUCUUUUGUCCGGAAAGAAAUCCUUGGCUCUAAUACAGUCGGGGGAUGACGGUACCGGAAGAAUAAGCACCGGCUAACUACGUGCCAGCAGCCGCGGUAAUACGUAGGGUGCAAGCGUUAAUCGGAAUUACUGGGCGUAAAGCGUGCGCAGGCGGUUUGCUGAAGACCGAAUGUGAAAUCCCCGGGGCUCAACCUGGGAACUGCAUUGGUGACUGGCAGGCUAGAGUAUGGCAGAGGGGGGUAGAAUUCCACGUGUAGCAGUGAAAUGCUAGAGAUGUGGAGGAAUACCGAUGGCGAAAGGCAGCCCCCUGGGCCAAUACUGACGCUCAUGCACGAAAAGCGUGGGGAGCAAAACAGGAUUAGAUACCCU